GACGAACGCUGGCGGCGUGCCUAAUACAUGCAAGUAGAACGCAGUUUCGAACGGGUGAGUAACGCGUAGGUAACUGCCUGGUAGCGGGGGAUAACUCUUGGAAACGAUAGCUAAUACCGCAUACUACCAGAUGGACCUGCGUUGUAUUAGCUAGUUGGGGGGGUAACGGCCCACCAAGGAAACGAUACAUAGCCGACCUGCGAGGGUGAUCGGCCAACCUGGGACUGAGACACGGCCCAGACCCCUACGGGAGGGAGCAGUAGGGAAUCUUCGUGAAUGGUGGGAACCCUGACCGAGCAACGCCGCGUGAGUGAAGAAGGUUUUCGGAUCGUAAAGCUCUGUUGUUAAGGAAGCGGUACUUAACCAGAAAGGGACGGCUAACUACGUGCCAGCCGCCGCGGUAAUAC
rnacentral:rRNA from 1 species